UGUGAGAGCGAUUUGGCUGAGACAUCUGUUGGCCCUUUGUUCAUCAGUGUUGAGUCUACUGAUCUGAUUGAGGAGGCAGAUGUCCCCCCUCUUCCCUCACUGU
rnacentral:snRNA from 1 species